rnacentral:rRNA from 1 species
AACAGGGAUAAGCUCAGCAUGGAAAUUGGGGCCUCUGGCCUUGAAUUGUAGUCUUGAGAUGUGCUACCAACGGAGGCGCAGAUGUAAGCCUCUUGGAAAAGAGCGUCAGGGAGGGUGAGAGUCCCGUAUGUCAUCUGCAGUUCUCUGUGCACGGUACAUUUUCCAAGAGUCACGUUCCUCGGGAUUGGAGCGCAAAUUGGGUGGUAAAUUUCAUCUAAAGCUAAAUAUUGGUUCGAGACCGAUAGCAAACAAGUACCAUGAGGGAAAGGUGAAAAGGACUUUGAAAAGAGAGUUAAAAGUGCCUGAAAUUGCUGAAAGGGAAGCGAAUGGAACCAGUUGUUCUUGGCGAGUAUUGGUGUUGUCUAAAGUGAGGGCUUGCCACUUCAGCGCAAGUGUGGUGGCCAGGUUUUGAUCUGGAUGCGA